AUUGAACGCUGGCGGCAUGCCUUACACAUGCAAGUCGAACGGUAACAGGUCUUCGGACGCUGACGAGUGGCGAACGGGUGAGUAAUACAUCGGAACGUGCCCAGUCGUGGGGGAUAACUACUCGAAAGAGUAGCUAAUACCGCAUACGAUCUGAGGAUGAAAGCGGGGGACCUUCGGGCCUCGCGCGAUUGGAGCGGCCGAUGGCAGAUUAGGUAGUUGGGGGGAUAAAAGCUUACCAAGCCGACGAUCUGUAGCUGGUCUGAGAGGACGACCAGCCACACUGGGACUGAGACACGGCCCAGACUCCUGCGGGAGGCAGCAGUGGGGAAUUUUGGACAAUGGGCGAAAGCCUGAUCCAGCAAUGCCGCGUGCAGGAUGAAGGCCUUCGGGUUGUAAACUGCUUUUGUACGGAACGAAAAAGCUCCUUCUAAUACAGGGGGCCCAUGACGGUACCGUAAGAAUAAGCACCGGCUAACUACGUGCCAGCCGCCGCCAAGC
rnacentral:rRNA from 1 species